AGUGAACGCUGGCGGCAGGCCUAAUACAUGCAAGUCGAACGGCAGCACGGCAGAGCUUGCUCUGUGGGUGGCGAGUGGCGGACGGGUGAGGAAUACAUGGGAAUCUGCCCAGUCGUGGGGGAUAACGUAGGGAAACUUACGCUAAUACCGCAUGCGCCCUUCGGGGGAAAGCCGGGGACCUUCGGGCCUGGCGCGAUUGGAUGAGCCCAUGUCGGAUUAGCUAGUUGGCGGGGUAAUGGCCCACCAAGGCGACGAUCCGUAGCUGGUCUGAGAGGAUGAUCAGCCACACUGGAACUGAGACACGGUCCAGACUCCUACGGGAGGCAGCAGUAGGGAAUAUUGGACAAUGGGCGCAAGCCUGAUCCAGCCAUGCCGCGUGAGUGAAGAAGGCCCUCGGGUUGUAAAGCUCUUUUGUCCGGAAAGAAAAGCGCCGGGUUAAUACCCUGGUGUCCUGACGGUACCGGAAGAACAAGCACCGGCUAACUUCGUGCCAGCAGCCGUACGG
rnacentral:rRNA from 1 species